GGCGACCGGCGCACGGGUGCGGAACGCGUAUGGAACCUGCCCCUGUCAGGGGAAUAGCCCAGGGAAACUUGGAUUAAUGCCCCAUGGUACCGCGAUAUCGCAUGAUAUUGCGGUUAAAGAUUUAUCGGACAGGGAUGGCCAUGCGUACCAUUAGUUAGUUGGUGGGGUAACGGCCCACCAAGGCAGCGAUGGUUAGGGGCCCUGAGAGGGGGAUCCCCCACACUGGUACUGAGACACGGACCAGACUCCUACGGGAGGCAGCAGUGGGGAAUCUUGGACAAUGGGGGCAACCCUGAUCCAGCCAUGCCGCGUGUGUGAUGAAGGCCCUAGGGUUGUAAAGCACUUUCAACGGUGAAGAUAAUGACGGUAACCGUAGAAGAAGCCCCGGCUAACUUCGUGCCAGCAGCCGCGGUAAUACGAAGGGGGCUAGCGUUGUUCGGAAUUACUGGGCGUAAAGCGCGCGUAGGCGGUUUGUUAAGUCAGAUGUGAAAUCCCCGGGCUCAACCUGGGAAUGGCAUUUGAGACUGGCAGGCUAGAGUGUGGUAGAGGUGAGUGGAAUUUCAGGUGUAGCGGUGAAAUGCGUAGAGAUCUGAAGGAACAUCAGUGGCGAAGGCGACUCACUGGGCCAUUACUGACGCUGAGGUGCGAAAGCGUGGGUAGCAAACAGGAUUA
rnacentral:rRNA from 12 species